CCCGCCCUCCCCUCCUGGGCCAAGUCAGCAGUGCUGACGGCUGCGGGGCUGCAGCAGCGGCGGCGAUGCAGAGACCCUGCACCACUGCUCAGGGCGGGCGCAGUGCUCUGCCCGCACCCGCGUCCCGACGGCCACCUCCUGGCGGCUGCGCGUAGCCCGCGCCGGGUAGACCCUACCGGACGGCGGCGCUGAUUGGUGCAGCGAGUGAGUCCCUGGCUUUAUUUAGACCACCUUUUCUGGAAGACAAUACUUCACUAGAGUCGAGGGCUGGGGGCAGGAGGCAACCCUCCCCGGCGACGGGAGGAUGAUAAAUGAGCAGUUCUGUGCCUGGUGGCUGUUAACUCCAGUGGCUUUGCGCAUCCUCCGACCGACCAUUUCCACAGCUGCUUUGCGACUGCACACCCAAGUGUGGGGCAUGCUUAGAGGAAACUCCAGUGGAGAACAAGAAGACCCUCAGAAGGGUUAGGAGGGCUUGGGACCAGACCGGGGAACCUGUGUCCGGGCACCGGUUUUGGAUCUUCUGCUCUGAGACACCAGCUUGGAAGACAAGGCUGCCUUCUUGUUUGGGGGGUAAGGAUGGUGUUUUCAACUAAGGCAUCUGAUAGGUGAGGCGAAGGGACCUACUGGGACCCUAUUCUUGAAUGUUCUUCUUUGGCUUCUCUGGGACAGCCUGUGGCAAGAAAGGCUUGGAAGUGGUGGGCAAAGAUUUGCGCGCCCCGCAGCAGCGUACCAUUGGCAGAAGGUUGAAGUUGGUUGCGAAGUCCGGUUUCCUCUGCAGAGGGAAAGGAACCCAGUGAAUGUGGGUGGGGUCCAGAGCCUCUGGCCCUCUUGGGUGAGAAUAUGGGCUUUAGUGGCAGGAAGCAAGGCCUGGAAACAGAGAGGGAAGCCUCAGGGGUUCAGGAGGCAUCUUCUACCCAGAAUUGUAAACGGUGGGGAAAGUAUUUGGGCAAAUAGCUUGAAAUUGUUACUCAGGAGCCCAUUCCUGGUCUCCCAGGCAAAGCAGGAAGUCAUGGCAUGCUGCACACCCUUGAGCUGGCCGUCGUGAGACACUUCGGAGGCUGGGCCUCUCUGUCCUGGACCCCGAAGUUCACGCGGGAAGACAUAUUGCCCUGUGUCCGUCUUUUCCAGCUUUGGGUUGAGGGUCUCCUCCUCCCAGGCUGCCCUUGAGGCCUGCAUUGUGCUGGGGGUUGGAGGAGGAGGAGGAGGGAAGUUGGGGAGAAGGUACUGAGUUAACCAAAGUAGCAGGGCCAGCAGACCCCGGUGUGUCUGUGCUGAUGUAAUCAGUUUUAGGGACUGGUCAGGCCUGUGGCUGUCCCAGAACUGACACCAGGGAUCCCUCUUGCUCAGCCCAGGACAGGACAGCAUUGCGGUUGUGUCUCCCUGCCAAGGACGCAGGGUGAGGUGGCUCUCCAGAAGAGGUUUACCCUUCAGGCAGAACCAAGUGGUCAGUCUAGGGACUCCGAGAGUUGACAGCUACAGGAGGUUGGCUUCCUCCUGACAAUGAGAUGCUGGUGGAGGUUACCCUGUGAAGAGGCAGCGCCCAGACUCUGGGAGUCAGGCAGAGGCAGGGGUCACAGGGAAAGAUACUAAGUUGCUAAUGCUAUCCAAGGCCUGCAGUACUUCAUCUGUCCCUGGUCAGCAGUUUCCCCACUGUCUGUCUUCUGCAGAUCUGACAAAGGAUCAAGCUUUGUCAUUCUUUUCAUGCACUUAAACUUUAACCCCCAGGGCCCAAAGCACAGUAACUUUGAGACUCUCUAGACUAAGCCUCUGGAAAUUAUCCACCCAAACUCUGAGCUGAGCUCGGAGUGGAAGAGAGCUCCAGAGGAGAGCUGACUUUCCCAAGGACACGGAAGGCUCAGGGCUGACCUGAGAUCAUCAGCGCUGGACCCACCGGGUACCCCGAUGGUGACAGAGGACAAGGUAAAGAAACUGGGGAUCUGGAGGGGAUACAGGCGUGGGAGCAAGGCUGGGUGAAUACGAGACAAUUCCGCUUCACUCCCUUUGAGCGCCUCUGCAGCGCCCCUGGUUUACAACUGUCACUGGGCAACGUGCCAAGGGGAGAAGCCAUUCUGCUGCUUUUAUAGUUCCUCCUCUGCAAUUCUGGAAAAUCAGGGCCACUUGGGUCUGGCGGCUCGCUGUCUGGUUAUUGGUACUGUAAUUCAGACUUUGGCCAGCAGGUGGCUCCCAAGGACACGGUAAGGAAAUGGAACCGGCGCUCCGCCCGGCAAGCCGGUUUCCAAGAAAGGGGUUUUCAGUUUUCCAUGGUCCGGUGAGUUGAGGCAGACAAUAGCUUUCUUUCUUUUUAUUUUUUUCUUUCAAGAACAAGAACAAGAAGUUUGCUUAGAAAUAUCUGGAGCUGUUUGAUAUCUGUGUCACCUCCUGAGUCAUUUUAUUUUUGCGAUGCAAUGUGGUUUAUUUGUGGGAAUUCCACCGCGGUUCUUAGAGCCGAUCUGACCUGUCAUUUGUGCAUUAGCGAUUACCGGAAAUUUAGCAAUAUUCCCAAGAAAGGUCUAUCAUUCUAUAGAGUGGCCAAAGCAGGUCCUGAACUCAGCCUCUGCCGAGUUUCAGGGGCUCUGUAGACAUCGUGCUUGCAGAAUAUCAAAAAGACAAGCAAGCACUGACGCGGACAGGGAUCAUCGACCAGCUUUAGUGCCAUUCUUACCCCGUCAACUUCUCCUUCAAGGAUCGAAAGAUAUUUCUGUCUUUGGCAAUAUCUGUUGGGAGUCUCAGCUCACUUUUGUAUCCAGAGAGGUCCCUGUUUCUUCCCAAAUGGUUCCUUGUCGCUAACUCGCCUUGAUGACCUUCAGAGGUGAAUUACUGCAAUCCUCUAGGAAUCAGCCCAUUUGCUUAAAUCAGAUUGUCUUGCUUCCCUGUGAUAAAACACUCCUUACAGACUCCAGUGUCUGCGUUAGAUGCUCGUGUCUUGGUCACUUCCGGUUUAGGUCGAAGUGGGAGUCUGUAUUCUAUAGCAACCUGAGUGGACUGCAGAUGCAGAGAGCUGCCAGACCCCUGCUGAGAUCUAGGUGACCUUGACAGGGUUACAGAGAAUCAACCAAGAAACUUAGAGCCACCUUAUAUGUGACCAAUAAGCAAACCAGUUUUUAUUUUUACUUGCUUUAAAAAUUAUUUUCAUUCGUUGUUAGAGUGUUGUGUGAGUGUGUCAGGGGGUACUCGUGCAUAGAGAUCAGGAGAUGAAUGGCCGGAGUCAGUUCUAAGUCUUCUAUCCAGUGGCUUCUAGGGAUUGAACUUAAGUAGUCAGGUUUGGUGGUGAGCACUUUAGGCCAGUUCCCUGGCCCUGUUUAAUUCACUGAUGGUGCAAAAUCAUUACAUUUUCUACAGAUUGGAAUUCCCCUCCCCCAUACCACACCCCGAACCAGUCCCCUUGGGACAGGGUUUCAUACUGUGUCAUCGGCUGCCUGGCUUUGAACUCGAAGCAAUCCUCAGGAUUUCAAAAGCAUGCCUCCCGAGUGCUGGAAUUACAGCUUCCAGUGACCCAAAGUGGUUUCUGUCCCAACACGUUCCCUCACGGUGAGAGAGACUCAGCUUCAGCCGGAAGCCGGGUGACGGAGAUGUGGCCACACCGACCAUCUAAAGCGACCCCCAACUCCGAUGAAGCCUGGCUGGAAAGACGCGGCUUCCAUCCUGGGAGCCUGGAGGAGAAUCGAGCAGUGGCUAUUGCCUGGGCUUGCCUGGGCUUGUUCAGACAGGACUGCUCCCCUCGGUGACUGCACAGAUUGGGGGCUUUGGGAGACGUUGCCAGAAUCUGGAAGCCAAGGCCGGGGGCUACAGGGGCCCGGGGUCUGCGCACCUGCUCGCCGCGGAGCUCAGGAGUGCGUCCAGACAAACAACUUGACGGAGGAAAGCAAGAGAAAUGUAUUCGCUCGCAGUUCUGCAAGCCAAAAGUUUGAAACACAGCAGCGUCCACCCGUCUGUUGUCUCUGUGAAGGGAUCCCGCCCCAGCUUCCGAAGUCUGCCUGGGCCUGUGAUCCAGGGUCUGGUGUGGGAGGAAGGCAGAAGCCUGACUAUGAGGACAGAAGGGUCAGAAUACUAGUCGGACUACCAGAACCUGCCCAGGUACUGCCCCAGCGUGGAGGACGGCUGCUGGAACAAAGCCUAGUGUGUCUGUCGGCUCCCCUUGGGGUAGCUGAGCAAAGGUGUCGGCUUUGAGUUGCGGCUUCAUAAAGUGUUCCUCGGAGACAGGCACACCCUGAAUGAUGCCUGAGACCUGCUGGGCCGCUCCCAGCCACAGGCAGCUGCCUCCUGUUGCUAUGUGAAUUCCAUCAGGGUUCUCUCUGCUCCUUUCUCUGCCCCUCUGCUACCUUAGGAAAAAUGGGGGGUCUGGGGUCUGUAUUUCCGGUUUGAGUUUUACAGUUGGGAACCCACCCUGCAUCUACUGGGAAACCCUCCGUGUGCCUCCAGCUUCCUCUUUGGGCUCUUGCCUGCCGGUUCUCUUCGGCUGACUCUCAAAGACUCCCCUUCUUUGGACAGCUCAGAAGCACAUGGUCAGAACCCAAGUGACAGACGUCCAGCUGGCUUCAUCGCAACUGCGUCUGUGACCUUCCACCCAGACAGGGCUGUGUGUUGUAGAUGCUCCCCCUAUGCCAGGCACGGGGUGAAAGGGAAGAGAAGCGAAAUCUGCCUGCUCAGACCUCUUGAUCCUGGGUAACAAGGAAAUUGCCCUUGAUGCUCUCAGUCUAGGGCUCCGCCCCCCAGCUCAGCUAUGCCAAUCAGCACCUUGGUGAAUCCACCAAGCCAAGCCAUCCCCUUAACAAACCAGCAGCCCCCAAGAAUUCAGGGCUUCUUUCUGACAUCUAGGAGCAAGAGGGACAGAUGGACCCUGUGUGCUCACAGCAGAGUUUAGGAAGGGGACCCCUCACAGCUGAAGGCGGCCUCUGUGCUCCUAGAGGCAGCUGACCAUGCCUUUGCCCGUGGACAGCGCCGGGCCCUGUGGAUUCCAGGGUCUGGAGUAGAGCCAGCCAGCCCAUGGAUGGACAGUGGAACUGCUUUCUCCAAAUAGCUGCCUACAGAGAUAGAGCAGCCCUGAGAUUUGGCCCUGAGCGUGGCCAAGCACAGCUCCAGGCCCCACCCAGCCUCACCCAGCCUCACCCCCAUGACUGACUGGACAGGCCAGCAUGCUCAGGUGUGGAGACUGGGGGUUUUCCUCCCUCUCCCCCCUUCUCCUCUCCUCUCUGUUCUCUCUUUUCUCCAUUAGCUCUUGGAUUAGCAUCCAGAUGACUCAGGGGAGGCGGUCUGGUGCCUGCUUCCCUGGGCAAAGGAGCAGCGGUGGGGAGGGACAAGGAACAGGUGAGUGCACACCUCUGGAGGGGCCCAGGUAGGUGCUGGCAGCUUGCCUAGCUCCUAGCAGCUGUGCUAUGCCUGAGGGGGCAGUGAGCUGAGCAUGUCAGACAGGUGGAGCCAGGCUGCCCGUCCCAGACACACAGGUCCUCUCUUGGGUUACUGAACAGGGAAACACCCUUUCCUUUCCCCCACUGCCUUAGUUCCCUGGCACCUCCAGGGACCACUUCCAACAUCUGAAGAGGACACUGGAAGCGGAGAACGGGUUGCGAAUUCGCUUGGAGAGACCCUGGUUGAGUUCGAGUGUGGAAACACAAUCUUGGCCUUGGAGAAGCACUUGUGGUUUUCAGGCCCUUGGUUCUGAGAAGCCGAUCUCACAAGGAGCCCAAAUGUUUAGUGACAAAUUGAGGGGACAGGUCCAGAAACCUUAGGGAGGUCUGUCACUGGAAGAGAACUCUGGAAGAGAAGCUUUAUUGGGUAAUGUGAGCUUUUUCCUUCCGGGGGAGGGGAGGCUGCCUCUGCUCAGUGACAGCACCUGGCUUUAUUGGGGUGACCCUCUUUGGUUUCUGUAGGGGGGAGAAGGGCUAGACUUCCUCAAAUACAACCAUAAAUUACAGACACUUACUGGGAGUG
rnacentral:sRNA from 1 species